rnacentral:hammerhead_ribozyme from 1 species
AUCUAGCUGACUAGUCCCAAAUAGAACGAAACGCAAGUAAAACUAGAU